GGGUACGAUCAUACCAGCAGUAAUGCACCGGAUCCAAUUAGAACUCCGCAGUCAAGCGUGCCGGGGCGAGUGUAGUACUAGGAUGGGUGACCUCCUGAGAAGUCCUCGUGUUGCACCCC
rfam:Gossypium raimondii scaffold_775_contig_2, whole genome shotgun sequence.